GGGGUUGUGGCUCCAUGGUAGAGUGCAUGCCUCAAAUGUAUGAGGCACUGGGUUCAAUUCUCAGCACCA
rnacentral:tRNA from 1 species